rnacentral:rRNA from 1 species
CCUACGGGUGGCUGCAGUAGGGAAUAUUGCUCAAUGGGGGAAACCCUGAAGCAGCAACGCCGCGUGGAGGAUGACGGUCUUCGGAUUGUAAACUCCUUUUGUUAGAGAAGAUAAUGACGGUAUCUAACGAAUAAGCACCGGCUAACUCCGUGCCAGCAGCCCCGGGAAUAUGGAGGGUGCAAGCGUUACUCGGAAUCACUGGGCGUAAAGAGCGCGUAGGCGGGAUAGCAAGUCAGAUGUGAAAUCUUAUGGCUUAACCAUAGAAGUGCAUUUGAAACUGUUAUUCUAGAGUAUGGGAGAGGUAGGUGGAAUGCUUGGUGUAGGGGUAAAAUGCGUAGAGAUCAAGAGGAAUACUGAUUGCGAAGGCGGCCUGCCAGAACAUAACUGACGCUGAUGCGCGAAAGCGUGGGGAGCAAACAGGAUUAGAUACCCGUGUAGUC